CUUGCUUCAGCAACACAUACUAAAAUUGGAGUGACAAAGUCAUAUAUUAAAAUGGCUCCUGUACAAGGAUGACAUACUAACUUGUGGUGCAUUCCUAUUUCUU
rnacentral:snRNA from 1 species